rnacentral:lncRNA from 1 species
GCCCCUGCUGACACCUCUCUGCCUCCCCCAGCCAGUCCCCAGGACAGUGGUCCCCAGCAGCGAACAGCAGCCCUCCUUCCUGGCCGGGACAGCUGAGUACACAGGGCUCUCUGGCGGGACGCCUUUG